rnacentral:rRNA from 1 species
UACGUAGGGGGCUAGCGUUGUCCGGAAUCAUUGGGCGUAAAGCGCACGUAGGCGGUCGGCUAUGUCGGAUGUGAAAGCCUCGGGCUUAACCCGAGAAGGGCAUCCGAAACUGGCCGGCUUGAGUAUGGAAGAGGGUCUCGGAAUUCCCGGUGUAGAGGUGAAAUUCGUAGAUAUCGGGAGGAACACCAGUGGCGAAGGCGGAGACCUGGGCCAAUACUGACGCUGAGGUGCGAAAGCGUGGGGAGCAAACAGG